rnacentral:rRNA from 1 species
UACAGAGGGGGCUAGCGUUGUUCGGAAUUACUGGGCGUAAAGGGCUCGUAGGCGGCCAACUAAGUCCGACGUGAAAUCCCCAGGCUCAACCUGGGAACUGCGUCGGAUACUGGAUGGCUUGAAUUCGAGAGAGGGAUGCAGAAUUCCAGGUGUAGCGGUGAAAUGCGUAGAUAUCUGGAGGAAUACCGGUGGCGAAGGCGGCAUCCUGGACCGACAUUGACGCUGAGGAGCGAAAGCUAGGGGAGCAAACGGG